GAGCAUUGAAAUCUGCGUUGAAGGUGGCAGGCGACUGCUGCUGGAGCGGUUUCAAAAGAAAAUGUAGGCAUAAGUAACGAUAAAUGAAGUGAAAAACUUCAUCGCCGCAAGACUAAGGGUUCCUGAUCAACGCUAAUCGGAUCAGGGUUAGUCGGGUCCUUAGGCGUACCCGAAAGGGGAAGCUGAUGGAAAGCUUGUUAAUAUUCAAGCACCUGCUUUAGUUUCGAUGGGGUGACGAGGUAGUGAAAGGACUGCGUGACAACGGAUGUUCACGUUAAAGGGUGUAGUUAUAUUUUUUGCAGGUAAAUCCGCAAGAGAUGGCGAACCUGAUAGUACGGCAAAGCUUCGGUGGAGCUGAUAAUGUCCCUAAUCAUACUUCCGAGAAAAACCUCUAAGGUUAGGCUAAAGCGGCCCGUACCGUAAACCGACACAGGUAGUCGAGAUGAGUAUUCUAAGGCGCUCGGGUGAGCCGUGGAGAAGGAACUAGGCAAAUUGACGCUGUAACUUCGGGAUAAAGCGUACCAUUUUCGGAUGGUCACAGUAAAAUGGUUCAACCAACUGUUUAACAAAAACACAGGGCCCUGCAAAAUCGAAAGAUGACGUAUAGGGGCUGACG
rnacentral:rRNA from 1 species